ACGCUCUUCUGUGUGGUUCUACAAAUGCCGCCAGCAGCAUGAGGCCAUGAAGGAGGGCUUGGGGGGAUGGGCUGGGUGUUACUGCUAGGUCUGAGUGUUCACAGCACUAUAGCCUUGGAAUGUUUGUGUUGGUACAGCUCCGCAAACAGUUGUGCUUCUGCAAUCAAAACAACAAACAGAACGGAGACAGGAGAGGGUGAUGCCUGAGCCGAGAUGAACAACCAAGGAACAACUCCUAGAUGUUCUGUAUACUGGCAUGCAGAAGGAAAGAGAGACAGAUGGUGUGACAGUGGGAGAACAGUCUAUUUUAGCACUAAUAAAAAUGGGACUUGAGAUCCAUGUAUGGCAGAGAAAUUAGAAGCUUGGAGUGCUGGGGAAAA